rnacentral:rRNA from 1 species
UACGGGGGGGGCAAGCGUUGUUCGGAAUUACUGGGCGUAAAGGGCGUGUAGGCGGCGCGGUAAGUCGGGUGUGAAAUCUCGGAGCUUAACUCCGAAACUGCAUUCGAUACUGCCGUGCUUGAGGACUGGAGAGGAGACUGGAAUUUACGGUGUAGCGGUGAAAUGCGUAGAUAUCGUAAGGAAGACCAGUGGCGAAGGCGGGUCUCUGGACAGUUCCUGACGCUGAGGCACGAAGGCCAGGGGAGCAAACGGG